GAAAAAUAAUUCCCCUGAAUGUGCCCAAUCUCAUCUGAUCUCCGAAGCAAAGCAAGGUCAGGCCUGGCCAGUACUUGGAUGAGAGAGAAAUAACUCAUGGCUCAUUUUCA
rnacentral:rRNA from 1 species